UACAGAGGUCUCAAGCGUUGUUCGGAUUUACUGGGCGUAAAGGGCGCGUAGGCGGCGUGGUAAGUCACUUGUGAAAUCUCUGAGCUUAACUCAGAACGGCCAAGUGAUACUGCUGUGCUAGAGUGCAGAAGGGGCAAUCGGAAUUCUUGGUGUAGCGGUGAAAUGCGUAGAUAUCAAGAGGAACACCUGCGGCGAAGGCGGGUAGCUGGGCCGACACUGACGCUGAGGCGCGAAAGCCAGGGGAGCGAACGGG
rnacentral:rRNA from 1 species